CUCUGUGUCAUGGGAAAACAUUAGAGGAUGGGAAUUGGAGACUCAUACAGAGGAUUUCAAUUAUUUGAUCAAAUCCUGUGUCCAGCUGAGGCCUCAGUCCUUACCCUUUCUGAGGACUCUAUGUUACUAGUUUCUCCAACUAGAGGUUGACUAUUGCUGCCUCUUCCAGAUUUGGCACAAAAAUGUUUUGAGAAACUCAUCUCUUCCACCCUGCCCCAGAACUUGUUGCACAGUCAAAUGCAAGUAGAGACAUUUGGAGAGAUUUUCAAAGAUGCAAAGGUCUGUGCAAUCCACACAACCUUGUGAAGAAAUUCCUCAGGCUGGACCCAGGGAAACACCAGCUACAGGGAAUGGAGGCCACGACAAGGGGUUCUGCAGAGGCUGUUCUUGUGCUGCAUACAAUGCACCAGGAGCCCUUGGCAGUGACUUUGGUCCUUCAGGACAUCAGUGGGUUUCUUUCUUCAUUCAGCCAGUGCCAGAGCAAGACCUACCACUUGUCACUCUGUUUUUUGUUUUUUUUUUGAGAAGUUCGUUAUAAAAUAACGAAAUCAGCUUGAAAAAUUCGAUGUAGAUACUAAGAUGUACCUACUGCUUUU